AUGUUAAAAAGCACGUCCCUAUCAGAUAAAGCCAGUGGCUUUGGCUCAUCUGGUUUUACUACAGUGUUAGUGCUCUUCUUGUCUUUGGUAGGGGGACGUGCUUCUCCAGCAGUGGGCACAGGGUCGCUCACUACAGUGUUAGUGCUCUUCUUGUCUUUAGAAGGGGGACGUGCUUCUUCAACAGUAGGCACAGGAUCGUUCACUGCUGUCCGCUGGCGUUUCUCAUAUGGAGAAUCACCCUGUUUGAUUUAUCUUUCCUCUCUCGUGCACGGGACCACUCUGUCCAUUCACCAUCCUGCCAAACAAGUGAUGGACGAAGAUUCCAAGCAUCAAGGACUAAGGAAUCACCAGCUGAAAAUACAUGAUCAAGGCAAUAAGGACGGUUAA
rnacentral:rRNA from 1 species